CCUACGGGAGGCUGCAGUGGGGAAUAUUGCACAAUGGGGGAAACCCUGAUGCAGCGACGCCGCGUGAGUGAAGAAGUAUUUCGGUAUGUAAAGCUCCAUUAGUAGGGAAGUAAAAGACGGUACCUGUCCAAGAAGCCCUGGCUAACUCCGUGCCAGCAGCCGUGGUAAUACGGAGGGGGCCAGCGUUAUCCGGAUUUACUGGGUGUAAAGGGAGCGUAGUCGGGCAGACAAGUCAGGAGUGAAAGUCCAGGGCUCAACCCUGGAAGUGCAUUUGAAACUGGAGGGCUGGAGUGCAGGAGAGGUAAGCGGAAUUCGUGGUGUAGCGGUGAAAUGCGUAGAUAUUAGGAAGAACCCCAGUGGCGAAGGCAGCUUACUGGACUGUAACUGACGUUGAGGCUCGAAAGCGUGGGGAGCAAACAGGAUUAGAUACCCGGGUAGUC
rnacentral:rRNA from 1 species